GCUGGGUGUGGUGGUGCAUGCCUGUAGACCCAGCUGCUCGGAAGGCUGAGGCAGGAGGAUCACUUGAGCCUGGGGGGUUGAGGCUGCAGUGAGCCAUGAUCAUGCCACUGCACUCCAGCCCGGGCAACAGAGUGAGACCCUGUCUCAA
rnacentral:sRNA from 1 species